CUGAAGUUGUGUCCUGGGUGCAGCAAGAUGCUGCGCUGACGGUGAUGUCCAGGUUUGGCUUUUCAUCCAGCUCCGAGGAGGACUCAUCUAAUCCCGAUGUUUCCCUGGUGGCCCGACGCAGGGAGGAGGACAGCUGUGGCCGCUGUCAGAGGGACAAGUAUCUCCCAGAAGCGACUGUGCCAGAGAUCAUUUGAGAUGAGGGUGGCAAGAAAGCCUACAGAGUUUCCCUCCCUGGUGCCAGCUUGUUUCGGUGCGCUGAGACCUAUCUGUGCUUCGACGUGAAGGCGGUGGUUACCCUGAGCUACGAGUACGGCUCCUGGCAGCAGCACCUGUGGGGAGCUGACGCGGAGAGAUGGACCUUCGUCGGCCCGUUCAACAUCUGGGUGGAGCCGGCUGGC